CCUCCUGUCACAGGAAGAAGAGAGACGCCGUCACCUGGCGGCUCACAGCCCUACAGACGCCCAGGGCAGGUGCCACCACCCAGCUGCCUGGCACCGUCGCUGGGCGUGGGAGGGGCUCCUCAAAUACCCAAAUGCACCCUGGGGCUGGCAACCUCUGCCCGCAGCCUCUCAGCCCAGUCAGGAGUCUGCCAGCCGCCAGCCCUGAGCCUCUCGUUCAGCAAGUCCCUGGCCCCCCAGGGCCCAGCACACCCAGGUACCCAGAGCAUCUGGCCGACACCACGCUUCGGGGAGGUCCUGAGGCUGAGGGUGGGGGCAGGCUUGAACUGGGAGAGAAGAGGGCAGAGGCUGGGGCCCCAGGUGCUGGAGGCUGAGGUCUGGGGGUGCAGGGCCCAGGUUCUGUGCUAGGGGACCUGGGGGAGCCCCUGCUGGUCACGGGGACACCCAGGGCUCCCUGCGUCCUAACCUUGUUCAAUCCAUUCCCGGCCGGCCUGCGGCCCCUCAAAAGCUGUUCAGCACCUGGGCCCCCAGAUGCCUGCCCCCGCCCCCCCCAGCCCUCCUUUCCUACCCUCCCCAGCUGGCUCUCUCCGCCUGAGGGCACUGAACUGUCCCCUUGCCGGGGCUUUUGGUGUGUGUGUGGGGGGGGGGGGUACACUGUCUGCUGCUGAAACAAGGGUUUCUGUGGCUUGGGGUUCGGGGGCCAGGGCAGGGUCCCAGGGCCCCACAAGAGCUCUGGUGGGCCUCUGGGGUGGGCUGUGGCCAGUGGAGACCAGGACAGAACCCUCCACCCUCUGUCCCAGGAGCUGGAACCCGGCUGAGGUCCCUGGCCUCAUCUUGCCCUGACUCUCACCCCAGGCUAGUACGGCCCCCCAACUCCUCUGGGGGGGCUGUCUGCCAGCUUGUCCUUAGCCCAGGGCCACUAGGGAGGUGGUAAAUGGUCACCAAGGGGCAGGCCCCUCGCCUACGCUGGGGGGAGGACCAAGCCCUGGGGGGUUGUCCCAAAGAGCACUGGGCUCACUCACAGGCAUCACUGCCAGCGUCCCCGGCUCCUAGCCUGGCCACCAGCUCGGCCACCCGCCCGUUGCCCUGGCCAACAUCUUCACCCUCAUGAACUCAGUCCUGCCCGGCCGCGCUCUCCCUCCAACCCCGUUACCACACCGGGGUCUCAAGCCCCACCCCAGCCACCUAUCUGCAUUUCCUCCAGGCAGCUCAGUGCCCAGCAGCCCCUACCUCAGCCCCAGGAGUUCCCAGGCUGCUAGAAACUGCCUUGGAAGCCCCCAGACCCUGGGGUUGGCAGCAUCCCUGGAGGACAGAGAUCUGCUGUCCUGGGGGCAUCCUCGGGAACCAGUGAGGAGUGGGCACUGGCUCCCCCACCGGCCUCCUUGGCUCACCCUGGCCAUGCUGCCCGGACCAGGGCUCCCGUCUGCCAGGAACGGGCAGGAGCCUGGCCUACCUCUGGGGUGUCGGGGCCCAUGGGGACAGGGAGCCCCAGCCCGUGACCCUCGGUGGCCUGGCUGGGGGGGUGAGGCCCUGUUCCCUCCGUGGGCCCAAGGCCUCUGAGUGCAGGCGGGUCGGCCACGAGGCCACAAGCCUGUGCGCCCCCAGCUUCCCUGUGGCUUCGAAGCCCACACCCCACUGCACCCCGUGCCUCCAUGUGGCCCCCCAGGGCAGGCCCCUUCAAUGACAAGUCCCCGAGGCACAGCAGUGUUGGGGUGCCCGGCUGGCACGUGGCCUUCCCACCUCACACGGGGGCUGCUCGGGUCUUACUCAAAACAACAGAAAGGUUUUCAGGAAGAACUGCCUCCCCAGCCCAGCCCAGCGCCAAGGGUCCGGUCUUUCAGUCACACAGCAGACGUCCCGCUCCCAGCCUGUCACUGGGUCCCCGAGGGGUGGGAGAGGAGGAGGCUGGGCUUCAAUCUAGCUUCAGGGGGCAGAGAGGGCGGGGUGUGCCCUGGAGCCUUUGAGGGCCUGUGGCCCCACAGGGGCUCAGGAGCCUGGCCCCAGCGUCCUCCCCAAACGGACCCCCAGGGAGACAGUCUGCAGGGGCACAGCCUCGGCUGCGGGUCUUCUGGACGGCUCGACGGGCGCAGGAGUGGGGGUGACGCCUGCUUCCGGGACCGGGCGGCCGAAGGCCAGGCCCUGCCCACCUGGCCCAGACUUGCUCUUCUGAGUAAGUGGCAGCCCCAGGCCCUUGACUCAGUGGCAGGGCCCAGCCCCGUGCAGCAGGCCGGCCUUCCGGCCGCAUGCCAGGGCCUGCCCCAGAGCAGCCACCACCUGGCCCCCUGGCAGGGACUCCACAGGGCUCCUCGGGGGCCACCAUUUCCAAAGGGAGCACAGUCCUGCUCACACCUGCAUCCCUGCCCCUCAAACACCAGGCCCGAGGCUGCAGCUGGGGCCUCGUCCUCUGCUCUGGCCACCAGGCUGAGCCCUCCUCCCCAGGGCUCCACGGCCCCUGACUUGGCGCUGACCAAAUUCUGGGGGUUCUGACUGUGUACAGUGCGCCCCCCAGGAGCCCUGCUGGACUGCCCCCUGCGCCCAGGGCCUGGAGAGGCCCUUCCCUGUGCUGGCUGGCUGUCAUCUGUCCCCGGGCCAGCCCUUUCAUUUGUCCACUGGUGUUCUUGGCGCGGGUUCCACGUCUGCUCUGGUCCUCUGGGCUCCAUUGGGAGGUGGUGGCGGAGUGAAGUCCCUCCUCUUGGGGACAGUGGAGUACCCGCCGCACUGGCGACAGCCCCCAGCAAAGCCCUGGUUGCCAUCUGUGGCUCGGUCACACACACAGUCCCCUCUACUUGGCCCCGCGGCCCAACGGUGCCUGUGUCUGUGGUGGGUUGGGGGCCGGGCCAGUCUCUCACUCGGGGGUGCCUGCCUAGCAGCCUCUGGGCACCAGGCCACGGCCCGUGAGGGAGGCAGGUCUCCUGGAGAGUGCGGACAGGCCAUCUCGGGGCCACGCUGAGGGUGGGCAAAGGGCCUGGGGGCGGGGCUGCGGCGUGGCCAGCCCCCUGUGCUGUGCUGCAAGCAAGUGGACCAGGAGAGCUGCACGGACCUGUGACGGAGGGAGCUGCGGGCUCUCCGGGAGCUGCCACUCUGACCACCAGACGUUGGACUGCAGGACGUCUACGCCGGCCUCCGCCCCGCCCAGUGCGCAGCCUCUGGGGACCUGGGCCCGGAAGGCUGUGUUGGGCCUCCUCCCGGGGGUCCGAGUGGCCCUUCGGACAGCUGCAGUCCCUCCGCAGGGAUCGCUCAGGGGUCACGCCGGUGCCCUGCUGUUCCCCGCCCUGACACUUGACUGAGUUGUGGCCGUAUGCUCAAUCCUGGGAGCCAAGUCCCAGGGCCUCUCGGCAGGAAGAAGGUGCCCAUCAGGAGGCCACCUCUGCCCCCCGGCCUGCCGGCGCGGACGGAGGUGUCUCUCCCAGCCCAUGAGCACACCCGUGAGCCCAGCGCUGCCCUCUGCCUGGCCCAGUGGGACCGACCAUCAGAGUUGGAUCCUCGCUCACCAGGACCCAAGGACAGUCACCACUGCCACCCGGCCUGCUGCUGUCCAGGGCGGGAAAAGCCAGGGGACGCCCACAAACUCCCAGGGGAAUUCCUGGGGCGUUCGGGUCCAGACAACCACAGCCACCUCUCCCAGCCAUGACGGAAGCAGCGCCUGACACCAGCCGGCCUGGCUGCUGCUGCACCAGUCCCUCCGGAGCCCACACCCUCCUGCUGAGAACGCGCAUCUUGCCCUGGCCUGCGUGGGCAUUGGCCCGGACACCUAACAGUGGUGGGCUCCACUCCUGGUCAAGGGGCUCACAGGAGGCAACCAAUCAAUGUUUCUCAGAUCGCUGUCUCUCCCUCUCUAAAAUCAAUAAAUAUUUUUUUUAAAGAAAGGAAAAGAAAGUCUGCACCUCUCACAGAAGGCUUGUUCUGAAGUCCUCCAUCCUCGGCCACAGAGCGCAGGCCCGCAGCCAGGCUGGGUGAGCUGUGUGGCCUUCCAUGCCGGUGCCCCGACCAGGUGUGGCCCCAACACAGCUGAGAUGUGGGGACCCCAGGGCCCAGUGACACCACCACACGGUGUGUAUCACCCCGGAUGGAGGGGCCCCUGCCGCCACCAGGAUGCUCAGACACCUUUCACAGCAAGCUCUGGGACACAGAGAUGCUGAGAAACACCUUCCUCCUGCCCCCGAGCAGCACAGUUUGGUCCGGCCCAGGGCUCCC